AACGAACGCUGGCGGCAUGCCUAACACAUGCAAGUCGAACGAGACCUUCGAGUCUAGUGGCGCACGGGUGCGUAACGCGUGGGAACCUGCCCUUAGGUUCGGAAUAACUCCCCGAAAGGGGUGCUAAUACCGGAUAAUGUCUUCGGACCAAAGAUUUAUCGCCUUUGGAUGGGCCCGCGUUGGAUUAGCUAGUUGGUAGGGUAAAAGCCUACCAAGGCGACGAUCCAUAGCUGGUCUGAGAGGAUGAUCAGCCACACUGGGACUGAGACACGGCCCAGACUCCUACGGGAGGCAGCAGUGGGGAAUAUUGGACAAUGGGCGAAAGCCUGAUCCAGCAAUGCCGCGUGAGUGAUGAAGGCCUUAGGGUUGUAAAGCUCUUUUAACCGGGAUGAUAAUGACAGUACCGGGAGAAUAAGCUCCGGCUAACUCCGUG
rnacentral:rRNA from 1 species